AAGUCGAGCGAACUGAUUAGAAGCUUGCUUCUAUGACGUUAGCGGCGGACGGGUGAGUAACACGUGGGCAACCUGCCUGUAAGACUGGGAUAACUUCGGGAAACCGAAGCUAAUACCGGAUAGGAUCUUCUCCUUCAUGGGAGAUGAUUGAAAGAUGGUUUCGGCUAUCACUUACAGAUGGGCCCGCGGUGCAUUAGCUAGUUGGUGAGGUAACGGCUCACCAAGGCAACGAUGCAUAGCCGACCUGAUAGGGUGAUCGGCCACACUGGGACUGAGACACGGCCCAGACUCCUACGGGAGGCAGCAGUAGGGAAUCUUCCGCAAUGGACGAAAGUCUGACGGACCAACGCCGCGUGAGUGAUGAAGGCUUUCCGGUCGUAAAACUCUGUUGUUAGGGAAGAACAAGUACAAGAGUAACUGCUUGUACCUUGACGGUACCUAACCAGAAAGCCACGGCUAACUACGUGCCAGCAUCCGCGGUAAUACGUACGUGGCAAGCGUUAUCCGGAAUUAUUGGGCGUAAAUCACGCGCAGGCGGUUUCUUAAGUCUGAUGUGCAAACCCCACGGCUCAACCGUGGAGGGUCAUUGGAAACUGGCUGAACUUGAGUGCAUAAGAGAAAAGCGGAAUUCCACGUGUAGCGGUGAAAUGCGUAUAGAUGUGGAGGAGCACCGUUGGCCAAGGCGGCUUUUUGUUCUGUAAAUGACGCUGAGGCUCCAAAGCGUGGCGAUCAAAUACGAUUAGAUACCCUGGUAAUCCCCGCCGUAGACGAUGACUGCCCAAGUGCCAAAAGGUUUCCUCCCCUUUAAUGCUGCAG
rnacentral:rRNA from 1 species